rnacentral:rRNA from 1 species
CCUACGGGUGGCAGCAGUGAGGAAUAUUGGUCAAUGGACGCAAGUCUGAACCAGCCACGCCGCGUGCAGGAAGACGGCUCUAUGAGUUGUAAACUGCUUUUGUACGAGGGUAAAUCCCGAUACGUCUAACGGGUUGAAAGUAUCGUACGACUAAGCAUCGGCUAACUCCGUGCCAGCAGCCGCGGUAAUACGGAGGAUUCAAGCGUUAUCCGGAUUUAUUGGGUGUAAAGGGUGCGUAGUCGGGUCGAUAAGUUAGAGGUGAAAUUCCGGGGCUCAACUCCGGAACUGCCUCUGAUACUGUCGAGCUGGAGUAUAGUUGCGGUAGGCGGAAUGUAUGGUGUAGCGGUGAAAUGCAUAGAUAUCAGAAAGAACACCGAUGGCGAAGGCAGCUUACCGAACAACGACUGACGUUGAGGCACGAAAGCGUGGGGAGCAAACAGGAUUAGAUACCCGAGUAGUC